UACGUAGGGUGCAAGCGUUGUCCGGAAUUAUUGGGCGUAAAGAGCUCGUAGGCGGUUUGUCGCGUCUGCUGUGAAAACGCGAGGCUCAACCUCGCGCCUGCAGUGGGUACGGGCAGACUGGAGUGCGGUAGGGGAGAUUGGAAUUCCUGGUGUAGCGGUGGAAUGCGCAGAUAUCAGGAGGAACACCGGUGGCGAAGGCGGGUCUCUGGGCCGUUACUGACGCUGAGGAGCGAAAGCGUGGGGAGCGAACAGG
rnacentral:rRNA from 1 species